AACGCGUAGGUAAUCUAUCCUUACAUUUGGGAUAACAUCGGGAAACUGGUGCUAAUACCGAAUGGUCUUCAUUGCUUUGGGGCGAUGGAGUAAAGGUGGCCUCUUCAUGGAAGCUACCGUGUAGGGAUGAGCCUGCGUACCAUUAGCUAGUAGGUGGGGUAAUGGCCCACCUAGGCUACGAUGGUUAGCGGGUCUGAGAGGAUGAUCCGCCACACUGGAACUGAAACACGGACCAG
rnacentral:rRNA from 1 species